UACGUAGGGUGCAAGCGUUGUUCGGAUUCAUUGGGCGUAAAGGGUGCGUAGGCGGCGCGGUAAGUCGGGUGUGAAAUCUCGGGGCUUAACUCCGAAACUGCAUUCGAUACUGCCGUGCUUGAGGACUGGAGAGGAGACUGGAAUUUACGGUGUAGCGGUGAAAUGCGUAGAUAUCGUAAGGAAGACCAGUGGCGAAGGCGGCUCGCUGGACCGGUUCUGACGCUGAUGCG
rnacentral:rRNA from 1 species